GGAGACAGAGAGAACAGUAAUAUAGAAAAAAACACCACGAGAGCAUGUUGGAGGAUAUAAUGGUGCAUAUUAUAUGCUCUUAUUUAUUGAAAAGGCACACCAUGUGCAUAGAGAUUGUAGAACUUGGUGAUCAAGCCAUUGAGUUGAACGGUUCCGAGGGCAAAGGUCAAGUAUGAGACCGCCAGUGUAACCCACAUGAUGCACUUCAUGAGGGACUUGGAUUCGGCAGGCACCAAGGUUGGUCCGGAGAGACACAAUUGAAGUAUUAGUGGCAAGGGAUAGGCUGUGAGGGAUGGGGUGGGCGAGGAAACUCCUCCUGGGAUCGGGAUUAAAUAGGGAUUGUGUAGGCGUGCAUUUGCAUCUCCUCCUCCUCAAUCUCUGCAUCUCAUCCUCCAGCAUUUGUGUCUUUGGAAUUUGUUUUCAUCUCUGCGUCUCCUCCCUUCUUUUUUAACUUAAAAGCGUCUCCUCCUUUUUGCUGGGCACUUUUGCAAGUCUUUUUCCUGGGCACUUGCAUCUCAUCCUCCUGAAUUUGUGUCUUUGGAAUUUGAUUUCAUAUUCUGGGGCAUUUGUGUCUUUUGGAUCUCAUUUUCUUGACUUUGUUAUUUGAUCUCCAGGCGUUUGUCUUUGGAUCUGAAUAUGAUGUCUUUGAUCUCAAAC
rnacentral:lncRNA from 1 species